rnacentral:rRNA from 1 species
GAUGAACGCUGGCGGCGUGCCUAAUACAUGCAAGUCGAGCGGUAAGGCCUCUUCGGAGGUACACGAGCGGCGGACGGCUGAGUAACACGUAGGAACGUACCCCAAAGUGAGGAAUAAGCACCAGAAAUGGUGUCUAAUACCGCAUGUGCUCUAAGGAGUAAAGCUUCGGCGCUUUGGGAACGGCCUGCGCAUGAUUAGCUUGUUGGUGAGGUAAAAGCUCACCAAGGCGACGAUCAUUAGCUGGUCUGAGAGGAUGAUCAGCCAGACUGGGACUGAGACACGGCCCAGACUCCUACGGGAGGCAGCAGUAGGGAAUUUUCCACAAUGGGCGAAAGCCUGAUGGAGCAACGCCGCGUGCAGGAUGAAUGCCUUCGGGAUGUAAACUGCUUUUAUAUGUGACGAUUAUGACGGUAGCAUAUGAAUAAGGAUCGGCUAACUCCGUGCCAGCCGCCGCCGUAA